UAGAGAACGGUCAACCUUAAAACACUCUGCUGAGGACAGUGCAGUGCAGGACAGGUAGGGGAGGAAACAUCUUAAACCUUAUUAAGCAUUAGAAAAAAAAACACUUGUGUAAACGCUACCUGCGAAUUCGUUCAUAAUUGUGAUAAUUAAAUCAUGUGUUUUAUUAGAGAUGCAGGGACAUAUUUUAUGCGUCGUGUAAAUUGACACGAAAAGUUUUGGAAACGAAUCGCUUAACAACGCGUUAUUUACAAUGUAAUACUGAAAUACCUUUAAACGUCCAAAAUUAUUUUUUAAAAUCAAACAUCAAACAAACGUAGCAUAGAUAAUUAUUUUCAAAACAAGCCCACAACUGUGCCCUUAAGGCAAUUUUUCACCACAGACCCGUUUAAUCCUACAGAAAAAUCCAGUUAAAACCAGCAUAAACUGGUAGCUGGUUUAAGCUGGUUUUAGCUGGUUUAAGGUGGCAGUAGCUGGUCCUAGCCUGGCAAAUCUUGCAAAACUAGCUUAAACCCAAUUUUUCAGUAGAGAAGAGUAGUAGCUUUCACUAAAGAGUUGUCAAUACCAAAUGCCUGUUGCAGUAGAUGUCGUCUGAAAGUCUUAAGUGUCACAUUUUGCCAUUCAUCCACUUAUACAGUAUACUGAAGAAUGAUAGUUGAGCUCAUUUGGUUUGUGCUUUAAUUUAAAGCUUCAUUUGACAAUUCAAAACUUCAGGAGCAGCUGGACAAUAACAUGCAGCUGGACAAUAAGAGGUUCCUCCUACAUGUCCUGAUCUCCACCCCUCUAACCAGCUGCUGCUUC